rnacentral:snoRNA from 1 species
ACUUCACAGUUAUCACUCUAAACUCAAAUCUUGAAAUCCCUAUGUUGAGACAAGGUCCUGUGUCUGUGAACU